GUGCUUGCUUUAGCAGCACAUAUACUAAAAUCGGAAUGGUACAGAGAAUAUCAAUGUGGCCCCUGUGCAAGGAUGACAUGCAAAUUUGUGAAGUGUCCCAUAUUUUA